UACGUAGGGGGCAAGGCGUUGUCCGGAAUCAUUGGGCGUAAAGCGCGCGUAGGCGGCCCGGUAAGUCCGCUCUGAAAGUCCAGGGCUCAACCCUGGAAAGCGGGUGGAUACUGCCGGGCUAGAAUCCGGAAGAGGCGAGUGGAAUUCCUGGUGUAGCGGUGGAAUGCGCAGAUAUCAAGAGGAACACCGGUGGCGAAGGCGGGUCUCUGGGCCAAAACUGACGCUGAGGAGCGAAAGCGUGGGGAGCGAACAGG
rnacentral:rRNA from 1 species